CAAAACAGAACCAAAAAAUAACGUCAAAAUCCGAACAAGAUACAUACUCCUCCAUUUUUUUCCUAGUUCAAAAACUUAAUUCUUUCCCAAAAUUUCAAAACAAGGGAAGCUUGAUACGUUCAAGAAUUUCAAAAAGGCAAAAGGUUAAAUCCGAUUUUUUAGGUUCUAAGUUCAAUCCACGAAAGUUUCCAACAGAAUAUUAUACGGAGUUUUUCCUACUCCAGGUAUGUUAAGGCUAAGCUUUUUCUUCAUUUUAGCAUGAUCGCAUCAUUACGCAGGUUUGAUAACGAGCCAUAAAGAAAAAUUCAUAUCCCGAAAUUUACGUAUAUUUGGCUAGUCUCUCAAAUUACGUAUAUUUCCUAGUUUUGUAAGUUACAAUAUUCUCCUUAUUGGGACUUCAUAUUCAAUUGAGCAUUUUCUUCUUUCAGUCAAGAGAGCAGAGAAUUUACAUAUAUACAGUAUUAAAAGUAUUUUCAUUACCAUCGAGCUAUAAUCGAUGGGUAGGCCCCUAUUGGGCAACCUCUGAUCAGAUGGUAAGUUAUAUACCGAGCUUACUGUGGUCGUGCGCCUAUGAGCGAGACCAUCAUGGUCGAGAUAUAGAGCCUAGUAUGGCCGAGCGCCUAUGAGCGAGCCUACUACGGCAGAGCANNNNNNNNNNNNNNNNNNNNNNNNNCAGUUCAGUUUCAGCUUUCAGUACAUUACCUUACAUACUCGGUACAUUAUUUCGUACUGACGUCCCUUUUGCUUGGGGAUGCUGCAUUUCAUGCCCGCAGUUCUAGACAGACAGGUCGAGAAACCUCCAAGUAGGCUAUCAGCUCAGCAGAAGAUAUUGGGGCGCUCCAUUUGCUUCGGAGUUGUGUGUUUGGUUAGUAUGAUUUAGACGUGUAUUGUUUGGUAUGGCGGGACUCUGUCCCGACCUUUAUGAUAUUUAUGUACUCUUAGAGGCUUGUGGACAUAUGUCGUAU
rnacentral:lncRNA from 1 species